AGUGAACGCUGGCGGUAGGCCUAACACAUGCAAGUCGAACGGCAGCACAGUAAGAGCUUGCUCUUACGGGUGGCGAGUGGCGGACGGGUGAGGAAUACAUCGGAAUCUACUUUUUCGUGGGGGAUAACGUAGGGAAACUUACGCUAAUACCGCAUACGACCUACGGGUGAAAGCAGGGGAUCUUCGGACCUUUCGCGAUUGAAUGAGCCGAUGUCGGAUUAGCUAGUUGGCGGGGUAAAGGCCCACCAAGGCGACGAUCCGUAGCUGGUCUGAGAGGAUGAUCAGCCACACUGGAACUGAGACACGGUCCAGACUCCUACGGGAGGCAGCAGUGGGGAAUAUUGGACAAUGGGCGCAAGCCUGAUCCAGCCAUACCGCGUGGGUGAAGAAGGCCUUCGGGUUGUAAAGCCCUUUUGUUGGGAAAGAAAAGCAGCAGGUGAAUACCCCGCUGUUCUGACGGUACCCAAAGAAUAAGCACCGGCUAACUUCGUG
rnacentral:rRNA from 1 species